CAGCUUUAGACUGAUGUUUCCAGUGAAUUAUCACUUCUGUUAUGCGGUUUUUAAUAUCGUGUAUUUUAAUAUUUUAAAUAGAAUAUCGUGAUAUAUAUUUAAAUUUUGUUGUCGGUUUUUUCUUUAUUAUGACAAAUCUUGCGGAAAAAUUAAGUGAGCUAAUAAAUCCAGCACCUACAUCGUUAGAACUUGAAGAUAAUACUGAUUUUGAUACAAAAGCUAAAGUUGUUGAUAAAUAUGUGGAAGAUAAUAUACCAGUAUACCGUAGUCAAUUGAGGAAACAAAAUAUUCAAUUAGGUUCAAGAUAUGCUGGGAAAAAAGUAUCCCGAAAAGAGCUCUUAGAAGAAAGUUCAGAAUCAGGUAAGAUAAUUAUUUAGUUUUGAG
rnacentral:lncRNA from 1 species